GUGGGGAAUCUUGCGCAAUGGGCGAAAGCCUGACGCAGCCAUGCCGCGUGGAUGAUGAAGGUCUUAGGAUUGUAAAAUCCUUUCACCGGUGAAGAUAAUGACUGUAGCCGGAGAAGAAGCCCCGGCUAACUUCGUGCCAGCAGCCGCGGUAAUACGAAUGGGGCUAGCGUUGCUCGGAUUUACUGGGCGUAAAGGGCGCGUAGGCGGACAUUUAAGUCAGGGGUGAAAUCCCGGGGCUCAACCUCGGAACUGCCUUUGAUACUGGGUGUCUUGAGUAUGAGAGAGGUGUGUGGAACUCCGAGUGUAGAGGUGAAAUUCGUAGAUAUUCGGAAGAACACCAGUGGCGAAGGCGACACACUGGCUCAUUACUGACGCUGAGGCGCGAAAGCGUGGGGAGCAAACAGGAUUAGAAACCCUUGUAGUCC
rnacentral:rRNA from 1 species